rnacentral:rRNA from 1 species
CAUGUAGGCGGGAAUCUAAGUCUGUUGUGAAAUGCGGGGCUCAACCCCGUAUGGCGAUGGAAACUGGAUUUCUUGAGUGCAGGAGAGGAAAGGGGAAUUCCCAGUGUAGCGGUGAAAUGCGUAGAUAUUGGGAGGAACACCAGUGGCGAAGGCGCCUUUCUGGACUGUGUCUGACGCUGAGAUGCGAAAGCCAGGGUAGCGAACG